rnacentral:rRNA from 3 species
UUCAGUGAUCAUACUGGAGGGGUCACACCCGUUCCCAUUCCGAAUACGGAAGUUAAGCCCUCCAAGGCCGAUGGUACUCCAUGGGUAACCGUGUGGGAGAGUAGGUAGUUGCUGGAC